rnacentral:rRNA from 1 species
UACAGAGGUCUCAAGCGUUGUUCGGAUUCAUUGGGCGUAAAGGGUGCGUAGGCGGCGCGGUAAGUCGGGUGUGAAAUCUUGGAGCUUAACUCCGAAACUGCAUUCGAUACUGCCGUGCUUGAGGACUGGAGAGGAGACUGGAAUUUACGGUGUAGCGGUGAAAUGCGUAGAUAUCGUAAGGAAGACCAGUGGCGAAGGCGGGUCUCUGGACAAGUU